rnacentral:rRNA from 1 species
CCUGGCGGCGAGCGGCGAACGGGUGAGUAAUAUAUCGGAACGUAUCCUUGAGUGGGGGACAACUAGUCGAAAGACUAGCUAAUACCGCAUACGCUCGAGAGAGGAAAGUGGGGGACCGCAAGGCCUCACGCUGAAGGAGCGGCCGAUAUCAGAUUAGCUAGAUGGUGAGGUAAAGGCUUACCAUGGCGACGAUCUGUAGCUGGUCUGAGAGGAUGAUCAGCCACACUGGAACUGAGACACGGUCCAGACUCCUACGGGAGGCAGCAGUGGGGAAUUUUGGACAAUGGGGGCAACCCUGAUCCAGCCAUUCCGCGUGAGUGAAGAAGGCCUUCGGGUUGUAAAGCUCUUUUGUUGGGGACGAAACGGUUAAGGUUAAUAAGCUUGACUAAUGACGGUACCCAAAGAAUAAGCACCGGCUAACUACGUGCCAGCAGCCGCGGUAAUACGUAGGGUGCGAGCGUUAAUCGGAAUUACUGGGCGUAAAGCGUGCGCAGGCGGUUAUGUAAGCCAGAUGUGAAACCCCCGGGCUCAACCUGGGAAUGGCAUUUGGGACUGCAUAGCUAGAGUAUGGCAGAGGAGACUAGAAUUCCUGGUGUAGCAGUGAAAUGCGUAGAUAUCAGGAGGAAUACCGAUGGCGAAGGCAGGUCUCUGGGU